GCUUGUCUCAAAGAUUAAGCCAUGCAUGUCUAAGUGUAAAUACGUCUACACUGUGAAACUGCGAAUGGCUCAUUAAAUCAGUUAUCGUUUAUUUGAUGAUCUCUUGUUACAUGGAUAACCGUAGUAAUUCUAGAGCUAAUACAUGCGUCAAGCCCCGACUUCGGAAGGGGUGUAUUUAUUAGAUUCAAAGCCAACCGUGUAAAAAGCGUACCUUGGUGAUUCAUAAUAACUGUUCGGAUCGUAUGGCUUUUUGCCGACGACAGAUCAUUCAAAUUUCUGCCCUAUCAGCUUUCGACGGUACUGUAGUGGACUACCGUGGCAUUAACGGGUGACGGAGAAUUAGGGUUCGAUUCCGGAGAGGGAGCCUGAGAAAUGGCUACCACAUCCAAGGAAGGCAGCAGG
rnacentral:rRNA from 1 species